GCGUUGAUGGCCGAGUUGGUUAAGGCGCUGGAUUCAAGUUCAAACUUCGAUGAAAUACUCAUUGAGUAUCCCAGUGGCGAAAGCCGCGCGCGUUCGAAUCGCGUUCAACGCA